GCGUUGAGCUAACCGGUACUAAUGACCCGUGAGGCUUAAUCUUACAACGCCAGAAGCGUUCUG
rnacentral:rRNA from 1 species